GGGAAAUUUAUUUCAACAUCUCAAUAACACAAGUUCCUGUGUCUGAACAAGAGGAUAAAACAAAUCCAGAGCUCAAAUCUAUCCAGUGAGAGCCGAAGCUCCUGAGAUAAUCUCAAUAAGCUCGGUGGUAAUCGAUGCUUGACGGGUCCUGUUAUAAGUGAGGGUCAGGCGGUCGAGCACUUCACCAGCAUUUCUGCUGGAGCUGUCCAUAGCUGACAUCCUUCCACCAAGCUCACUGCAGGCAUUCUCCAAGACAGCAUUGAACAGG
rnacentral:misc_RNA from 1 species